AUAGGAGUUGGCCAGAGGGAGAGAGAGAGGGACUCUAGGCCUCGAGAAGAGCACGUGCAGAGGUUCCGUGACACGAAAACGCCAGAACUGGCUGACUCUUGGGUGCUUGGAGACACCAUAUAAAUAAGGAACUCUGGCUGUGUGCAUUGGAGAGGAUAUUAACAGGGCUUGGCCUGGCUGUGAGGUGCAGAGAUGCUGUUUCUCUCAGGUAAGGAGUCAUAUUGGGGCAGGGUUUCCUAAUCCUUUUUUGACUCACAAAAUACACCUAGGAAAUGUUAAAUAAAUUGUCAUUUUUGAGUAGUAUAUGAUAAAGAAGUGAUUGAUUUUGACUAAAAAUAUUCAUGUUCUACUUUUAGAAUAUGAAAGACUGUAUUACAAAGAUCACUUGAAAUAAAAUUUUAGAUAACAUAA